AACGAACGCUGGCGGCAGGCCUAACACAUGCAAGUCGAGCGCACCUUCGGGUGAGCGGCGGACGGGUUAGUAACGCGUGGGAACGUGCCCUUCUCUACGGAAUAGCCUCUGGAAACGGAGAGUAAUACCGUAUACGCCCUUUGGGGGAAAGAUUUAUCGGAGAAGGAUCGGCCCGCGUUAGAUUAGGUAGUUGGUGGGGUAACGGCCUACCAAGCCUACGAUCUAUAGCUGGUUUUAGAGGAUGAUCAGCAACACUGGGACUGAGACACGGCCCAGACUCCUACGGGAGGCAGCAGUGGGGAAUCUUAGACAAUGGGGGCAACCCUGAUCUAGCCAUGCCGCGUGCAGGAAGACUGCCCUAUGGGUUGUAAACUGCUUU
rnacentral:rRNA from 1 species